GAGACCUGCAGACCCCUGUUCAACAUCGACUGCCCUCAGAAGUCUGUCUAUCAACUAUACCUCCCACACUGUCAGAUUCAUUCUUGUGGUGGAUGUGACUUCCUGUCUGUAGCCCAUGUGACUGAUGAUGACAUCAUUGAGUUUCUCCCUCCCCAUGAGAUAACAGACACACAUGUCAUAAUAAGCAUCACUGGAUUCUCUGCUUAUGGUGAUGUCACAGAUGAGGAUGCUCRCAUCUCCCCCAUACUUGCACAUGUGUUGUUAUUCUACCAACCACUUGGCAAGAGGUCCAUCCUGAAUGUGUUGUUGCUUCCCAGUAAUGUUGUGAGAAAAGAGGUGCGGGAGUUGAUUGAAAGGGAUGGAAUAAGAGAAAUUCUAACAACUUCUCUGUGUACACUUACCCCAAAGCAAGAAUACACCCUCUCCACUAACCCUGCAGAUGCACAUCCA